CCUACGGGUGGCAGCAGUGGGGAAUAUUGCGCAAUGGGCGAAAGCCUGACGCAGCGACGCCGCGUGCGGGAUGAAGGUCCUCGGAUCGUAAACCUCUGUCAGCAGGGAAGAACGGUCACUGUGCUAAUCAGCAGUGAAUUGACGGUACCUGCAAAGGAAGCACCGGCUAACGCCGUGCCAGCAGCAGCGGUUAGACGGAGGGUGCGAGCGUUAAUUGGAAUUACUGGGCGGAAAGGGCGCGUAGGCGGUAUGUCAAGUCAAGGGUGAAAUCCCGGCGCUCAACGUGGGAACUGCCUUUGAAACUGGCAAGCUGGAGUAUGUGAGAGGAUAGUGGAAUUCAAGGUGUAGGGGUGAAAUCCGGAGAUAUCUGGAGGAACAUCAGUGGCGAAGGCGACUAUCUGGCACAUAACUGACCCUGAGGAGCGAAAGCGUGGGUAGCAAACAGGAUUAGAUACCCCAGUAGUC
rnacentral:rRNA from 1 species